AUGAGCUGCACAGGGUAGCUAUCACCUGUCGAUGAAGAACAAUGCACACAGGUUCAGACAAUGAGCAAAGAAUCACACCGAACAUGUGCCAACACGCCUCUGCCUCUGCUUUUGCACCACAGCGCUACACGGAGCCGGAACAUCUGCCCGAACAGAAGCCUCAGCUGGGCAGAAACAUGCAAUGCGUACGUGGAACUUUUGUGCACAGAUGGCUCGAAGGCAAAUCAUUGAGAAUGGGGAAGGUCUGCUCUUUUAAUUUUUCAGGGUAAAAUUCUACUCAUAGUUAGAUAAAAUAAUAGCAGUAUAAAAAGCUUCUCGUCAAUCUGUUUUAAUUAAUGUAAGGUCUGUUACUGAAGUCUUCUUAUUGACAAGGUUCUGUGUGAAAGAUUACCCGCCCAUGUGAUAAUGGUCAGUACUUUAGCUGAUCAGGAUAAAUACUACAGAUCUCAAACAAUCUUUCAUAUAAUGAACACUACGGGGACUUUUUGCUAAAAAGACAUAAGGUAUCAGUAACAGAAAGCUUUAAUGAUUAGUUUUAAGGGUCGAAAUAGCACCAUUCUUGGAUCGAAAUCCAAAACUGUAGUCCAGAUUUUGCUGGAAAUGUUGGCAAAUCCACAACAAACUAUCCACAUUCCUCAGCAUAAAUUCUGGUGAGCUCUGGGAUUCCUAUGUAGUCGCACAUUAGCUCCGCUUCCUUGCUGAGUUUCACUACACAAUUCCCAGCCACGAUCACCAUUGGAUUUCACAAACUCCAGCAGCUGAUCAAUGUUUUCAUUAGAUUCCUUGCCAUUUGAAUUGGGAUAUCUACUCUUCAGAUUCAUUGCUGUAUAGGGUCUAAUGCUGGGUCCAUGGCUGAUUUCAAUGGGAACCCUAAACCUGUGGAGAAGCCAGUGAAUAUACUUUCCAGAUGCUAGCACCUGUAGUCUGGAUUAAAUGGACGGUGAAAGCCAAAAAAAGGAAGUGCACGAGGAAGGAUGACAAUGCCCACCAAUGAGGGAAAACUUCUGAUCUUCCUUACAGUACAUGAACAGGAAUGGUUACUGAAUUGCGGAUAUAUACGUUUUGUAACCCAACAGGAGGUGAAAGUGAGACUCUACUCAAAAGCUAUUUGCUAGCCAAUGCCUGAAGCUCGUUAUGCUGAAGGGUGGGUGCAAUAGAUUGUUUAUUGACCACAUAAAAUAUUCAAAGAUCAGUGGCAUAUGAGGCUUCUCAAAGUCCAACCCCACGUCCCCUUCGUGAGAGGUAGAAAUAGGUAAGGCUGGCCAACAGGGCUCUGGUGAAGCUUUACAGGCCAAUCACCCGUACAGUAGAUAUAAGUGGAUUACAGAGACAUUAAUGAACUCCAACCAGACCAUCGACUUUGGAUGAUAGAGAUGGGAGAUCAUCAAUGGCCAAUGCUCCACUGGGAGCGAAGGGCCCAAGAAGAAGAAGAAGAAGAAGAAGAAGAGUGUCCUAUGAGACACCAAAGGCCCAUACUUAUCAACAGGAUUAGCUGCUCAGAGGGAGCAAAGUGUUCCUGUUUAAUGUAUUAAUAUUUUGUGUCAUUGUGACCUCAGGUCAAUAGAGUUCUUCCGAUUUUAAACCCUCGUGACCGGAUGGCCUGAAUCACCAUUUUUUGAAGGUUGAAUUAGAUAGGACAUUUAUCUUAUAUCACCAAAGAAAACCAAACAUUGGAGUAUUUAAAAGUCAUUAAGUAAAAGAACCUAAAUAAUACAUAUUAGGUUUACAUUCAGUUUAUUUUCUUCAUACUCCACACCAGAGACCACGUCAAUGAAUAAGCAAGCUUUUACCUUCUGGACGCAGGACGCAUGUGCAAAAGCCAGAACGGUAGUGAGCUGGAAACCCAGUCACCAGUUACGCCUGGUACUAAUUAUAGCAUUAAUCUUAUAUUUCUUUUCUACCAUUCAUGUCCCUUUUUCCUACACCAUUAUUUCUACUGUAAUUUAACCCCUUCCUCCCUCCACCUGCACUGGUUUUAGUUUUAGGCUUUUCCUUCACCUCUUUGUUGCAUUCUCCCACCCCACUUUUGUCAACAAUUAUUGCACCCCAGUCCACCCAACCAAACUGCGGAGUUGCUCCCACCUUUCCUGCUCUGCACUUGUUUGAAACCUGCUAAUCAUUAAUAACCUGGUGAGUACUCCUAGCAUAUUGUGCUUUUAUUUCAGGUUCUCAGCACAUGCAUUUUGCUUGAUGGACACCUCAUGAGUCUUCUCAAAGAAUUUGGAAGAUAGUUGAUCAAGUAAUUCAUCAAGACCACACAACUGAGGCAGAAUUAUUAAAAUAUUCACAGGAACCAGAAGAUCUAUGUCCAGGGCUAUUUGAUCUUUUACACUGGGCAGAGUUGUGCAGGAUCGGAGGCCCACCUUCACUUCCCACUUCUGUCUCUCCAUGCAUCAGUGCUAGACUGCAUGGGAUGUACAAGGAAGUUCUUGCUGAUACCGUGAACUAACUGGAGGGGGAUUUAAGUUUGAUUAAGGAAGUUUGAAGUAAUUUACCAUGAGCUUGAUGGUUGCAUCACGGCCUGCUAUGGAAACACUAAAGCUCUCGAAUGGAAAAGCCUGGAAGAGGUAGUGGAUAUGGCCUAGUCCAUCACAGGUAAAGACCUCCCUACAUGGAGUGUUGUUGCAGGAAAGCAACAUCCAUCAUCAAUGAGUUCCACCUUACAGACCAUGCUCUCUUCUCUCUGCUGCCAUCAGGAAGGGACAGGAGCACCAGGACCCAUGCCACCAGAUUCAGGAACAGUUAUUACCCCUCAACCAUCAGGCUCUUGUACCAGAGUGGAUAACUUCAGUCUACUUCACUUACCCCAUUACUGAACUGUUCCCACAACCUAUGGACUCACUUUCAAGAACUCUUCAUCUCCUGUUCUUGAUAUUUGUUGUUUAUUUAUUAUUAUUAUUAUUUAUUUCUCUUUUUAUAGUUGCAGUUUGUUGUCUCUUGCACAUUGAUUGUUUGCCCAUUCUGUUGGGGGCGGUCUAUCAUUGAUUCUAUUGUGUUUUUUGUAUUUACUGUAGAACAGCUUCAAGAGAAUAAAUCACAAGGUUGUAUAUGAUAACAUAUAUGUUCGUUGAUAAUAUAUUUACUUUGAACUUGAAGUUUUGAACUUUGAAACUGUGUCUGAGGCACUUGUGCUGUUUUAGACUCUCUUCUUAUGGAAGGACGUGUGCACCUUGGUGGUGAUCAGAUUUACAAAGUUGACUGCCAGGAUGACAAAAUUGCCUUGCAAAGAGGGCCUGAGUAAAGUUGACCUGCAUUUAUCAGCGAUUAGAAGAACGGGAGGCAAUCUCAUCGAAACUGAAGAUUCUGAGUCAUAUUGAUAAUAUAAACACUAAAAAGAAACAUUUCCCUAUGGCUUGAUUUCGGAGAUAAGAUGUAAACUCUGGGCAAGGAGUCAAUCAUGUGGGACUGAAGCAAGCAGAAGUCAAAUAAAAUGUUUGGGUGAUAUUCAAGACCCUUUAAUUCUUAUUUUUUUAAGCAAAUUUUCAUGAACAGCAUGGGAAACCUCCAAAGAAAUUCAUUUUUGUUCACUAUACUGUGAGGAAACUGGCCACUGAUUGCCCAGAGUUUUGUAAGUUCAUUCUACUUCAAUGAGUAGAAUCACUGGCCAAUGUUCCUUCACACUUUUAGUGUCAGAGAUCAAAGAUAAUUCCUCUUCUCCUAAAUCUCUUGAAUAACCUCUACCUCUCCCAGUAAAACAGUCAUGAUCUCACUCAUAUCAGCAGGGUUUCAGUUUCAUACUUGGAAUAACGCACUUAACCUGCUGCAUAGGGAAUACAGGAUAAAAUAGAAAUGUGGAAACUUAUGGAGCAAUCCUGGAUCAGUAUCUGGGCCAAAAACAUGAAUAAAGUUUCCUAUUUCCACACUCUUCGCAGAUAAUUUUCAUGUUGUGUAACAUAAGCAAACAAUUCAAGGAAUGAUCUCCAUUUUCUAGACCUCAUUGUAUCCAUCUCCAGAGUCAAACACAUCACUGUUAUUUACUGAAAACUUACCAACUCCCACAGCAACUUAGACCAUAACAAUUUCCACCCUAUCCCUUGCAAGGACGCCAUUCCUUUUUCAUAGUUUGGCUUUGCCACAACUGCUCUCAGGAUGAGGCUUUCUGUUCUAGAGCAUCUGAAAUAUAUUCCUUUUUGAGGAAAUGUGUCUUCCUUUCUGCUGUGGUUAAUGGAGAUUGAUCUCACAUCUCCUCUAUUUCUUAUACUUUUGCUCUUGCACCUCCUCCUCCCAGACAGAGCAGAUAUACAGCUCCUCUGGUCCUUUAAGCCUCCACACCUAUCAUACCAUCCUUCAUCAUUUCUGCCAGCUGCAACAUGAUCCCAGCACCGUCCACGCCUUCUCCUCCCCACCUUCCAGAAGGACCACUCCCUUCGUGACCCCUUCGUCUGCUUAUCCCCUCCCUCACCCCAGGCAUUUUCCAUUGUGCUCCUCCCUCAGCACCAUCCAAGGGGCUAAGGAGUCCAACAGGUAGUGCAAAGGCUAACAUACACCUCCUCCAAUCAUGGCUACUGCAUUCGAUGCUCCCCUUGUGGCCUACUCUACAUCAGCCAGACCAAGUGCAAACUCAGCGAUCAUUUUGCAGACCACUUAUGCUCAGUCCUUAAUGGCCAUCCUGAGCUCCCAGAUGAUGACUUUUAUAACUCCUCUCCCCAUUCCCAUACUAAUCUGUCCAUCUUUCCCCUUCUACUGCCAGGAUGAAGCCAAAUGCAAAACAGAGCAGCAACACUUUGUAUUCCAAUUGGGUUGACUAGAACGCAAUGGCAUGAGUAUUGAGUUUUCCAGUUUUAGGUAAACUCUUCUUUUUCUUUUUAUCUCCCUCCCAUCCUCUUUCACCUCCUUUCACCCUUGAUCCUUGAAUGUCCUUUUUUGUCCCCUCCUAUUUCUAUACACUAACUUCAAAAACACCCAACACCCCCUGCCCCCCCACCAGUUUGGUGGUUCCAAAUGUUAUUCAUUUCCCUCUUUUCUAAUGACUUCCAUUCUCCCCUACUCCGUUCAGAAUAAUCCAGAUGCUCCAGCUCAUCUCCCGCCAGGAGCUGUCUCCUGCCUUCAUGCUCCCCACCACCCCUAUCUUGCUCCAUCUGUUGUUUCGUCUUCUUCCUCUCUCUGAUUUUAUGUAUCAUACACCUGUUACUGUCUUCCAACUCCACUUGCAUAUUAUUUUACACCCCUCCUCAGUCCAUUUUGGAAUCCUUUCUCCUCUUCCUCUAUGCUGGCCACCUUGCCUCUCGAUUUUCAGUCAUAGUGCAAGGUUUUGACUCAAAACGUCGACAAUUUUGUUCUGCUCUCCAGUGCUGCUCAUCCCACUAAGUCACUCCAGCAGUCUGCAUGUUGCUAUAGGAUUGAUAUCCCAUGCAAAAUUUCUGGCUCUCAGUUAUUCAGCAAACUCUAUAAUUAACUAAGAAAAUGGGGGAAGAUGUAUCUUCCGGAUUAUGCCAGAUAAUGAAGGUCUCAUCUCAAAUUCAGUUCAAAAGUUCCAGUUCUCAAAUCAUCUUUCAACAUUUGCCACAAGGAUAUUUUAUUCAUUAUGAGAUUAAGUUAAUCAAUAAGGACCUUCCAUUAUUGUGCAGCUUCCUGUAUUUAUGAGGUUGAUAAUACUCCAAUUUCCUCAAGGCAUAGUUUAUGGAAAUUCAAGAUUUUUUGGUUGAAUACAUAUAACAACAUUUCUAUUUGGUGCAGAAUUGCUUUAACUUAGUAGUUGUUUUGAUGAAAAUUAUGGGCACACACAAAAUAGCACGUUCUUGUUUAACAGAUAAGGGUCCAUUAAUCCCAUCCUGCUCUGUGUAAAUUAGUUGAGGAAUUGGAGAGACGGACAAUUAAACUAAUCUACACUCAGUGACUACUUUACUAGGUACCUCCUGUACCUAAUAAAGUGGCCACUGAGUGUAUGCUUGUUGUCUUCUGCUGCUGUAGCCCAUCCACUUCAAGGUUCAACAUUUAGUGCAUUCUGAGAUGCUCUUCUGCACACCUUUGUUGUAACGUGUGGUUAUUUGAGUUACUAUUGCCUUUCUGUCAGCUUGAACCAGACAGGCCGUUCUCCUCUGACUUCUCUCAUUAACAAGCCAUUUAUGCCCUCAGAACCAGAACUGAUGGGUGCCUUUUUUUUUAACCAUUUUCUGUAAACCCUAGUGUCUAUAGUGUGUGAAAAUCAGUUUCUCAAGUUGAUCAGCAGUUUCUCAAAUCACCCCACUUGACAUGAACAAUCAUUCCAUGGUCAAAGUCACUUACAUCACAUUUCUUCCCAAUUCUGAUUGUCUGAACAACAACUGUAUCUUUUGACUGAGUCUACAUGCUUUGCUGCAUUGAGUUGCUGCUACAUGAUUGGCUGAUUAAAUACUUGCAUCAAUGAAGAGAUGUAUUUAAUAAAGUAGCAACUGAGUAUGAUUAUGCAUCCAAUUUUCAGUUGACAAUCACAGAGCCUUUUUAUAGAUGUUUUUGUGGCCAGAAAGUGUAUUUAUUUGAACUGUGAAGGAGGGGAACAACUUAUUUUCUUCGUUAGUUUGUCAGAAAUAAGAUGUCACUGGGAAAAACCACAUUUAUUGUCUACCCAAAAUGAACUAUGUGGUUUUCUAGGCCUUUUCAGGGGCAACUAGAAGCCCAUCAGAUUGGUCAGUCUGGAAUCCUAAGUAUGUCAGAUUUUCU